GAUGAAGAACGUAGCGAAAUGCGAUAAGUAGUGUGAAUUGCAGAAUUCAGUGAAUCAUCGAAUCUUUGAACGCACAUUGCGCCUCCUGGCAUUCCGGGAGGCAUGCCUGUUCGAGCGUCAUCAAACCCCAUCGUGCAAAUGAAUUAUUUUUUUUGCGCGGAAGUGACGAUUGAGCGAGAAUAACAAAUCCUCUCGCACCUCGUCGAAAUGAUUGCGGGCGGAAUUUGGGAUCGGGUUCCUCGGCGUAGUGUAUCAAUGCAUAUUUAUGCAACUUGCCGCGGAGUUGAGCCUGACCCACGCGUUCUCGCCGUACAAACACCUCAUUACAUUACAAGUUUUUGACCUCGGAUCAGGUAGGGAUACCCGCUGAACUUAAGCAUAUCAAUAAGCGGAGGA
rnacentral:misc_RNA from 1 species